GUGGGCGAGAUUCUGUGCGGAGGUUCCGGGGGCACAGGUGGAAGGUUUAUCUUGCCCUGUCGAAAUGUGGCAGCUCGGGACUUCAUGCUUGGAGGACUGAUCAGGGAUUCGUUGGUGCCAAGCACUUGGGUGGCAUACAGUACAGUUUGAGAUUCAUGGGAUGCUGCGUGGGGGCGUACAGAGGGGAUUCAUUCUGUGGAGGUACGUUUAGAUGUUUUGUUAUGGUUUAUGUGUCGGUUGUUUGUGUCUGGGGUUUCACCAUCGGUUGUUUACCGUAAUCUAGCAGCUUUGGCUUUCCUCUUCAAGGUAAAUGGGUGGGAAGAUUUGACCAAGCACUUUCUGGUUCGUAAGGCACUAAAAGGUUUUCGCAGAGGGAAGAAAGCACCAGAUACCAGGAGACCGGUGUCGUUCGAGUUGCUCAUCCAGCUGGUUGGGGCAUUGCACUUUGUUUUUCUCAUUAAGAAAUUUUGUUAUUUUCGGUGGCAUUUUGGGCAUUUUUUGGAGCGUUUUGUAUCAGUGAACUGGUGAGUAGUACCUGGUGUCGAGUGGGGGCAUCAUAGUUUCGGACGUCUGGGGGGAUAAGGUUAAUAUUCAUCUACCUAGUUCAAAAACUGAUGUUUUCAGUAAGGGUUGUUUGGUCAGACUGCAUUGUUUACCCGGUUCAAGUGUGUGUCCUAUGGGUUGCGCUUCACUGUUUUUAGUGGUUCGUUUGCACGCUGGUGGCUCCUUUCUCAUCCAUGAAGAUGGGUCAUCUCUGUCUAAAUAUCAGUUUUCGCAAGUUUUUCAAUUAAGUCUGGGGUGUCUGGGAGUGGAUGCGUCACAGUUCGGUACACAUUAAUUUAGUAUUGGGGAAGCGAAGGGUUUAUGAGAUAAACUUGUUAAAAAAAAUUGGUUGGUGGGAUUCGGAAAGGUUCCCGUUUUAUGUUCGACAUGAUCGGUUUGUAUAGGUUUGGAUAGUAGGCCAUUGUUUAUGUCUGGAUAGUAGGCCAUUCCUUCGUCUACUGGGCAGAACGGAGAGCUGCAGUACGACCUCAAGGCGUGCAGCUCGGCUUUCUGCAGGAUUUAGUUAUAUUGUAUUGGUUUGGUUUUCGUGGGUUUUGUUAGGGAGAUAUCUGCUCUGAAAUGUUUAGGAAGGGCAAGGGUUAGUUCAGGAUUUUCUUCUGAUUCAUGCUGGGGGAAUGAUUUGGGGCUUGUGCCCCAAAUAGAAUUGGUGCGAUGCAUAAAGAGGGACGUGGAUAGGAUGAGGGGUUUGGUCUCAGGUGUGAUUAUUAUUUGGUCUGAAAUGGUGCCGUGUCUGCAUUGGCGUUUUGCUAGAUUCCCUGCUGCGAUUGCAAAAAUGUCGUAGCAAGAUCAAUAAGUUGUUGGCCAUCUAUAUUUAGCAAUUAGUGUGGCAGGGGGUGGUAGUUAGGCAUAGAGAGUUGGAAGCUAUGCUUCCUGGCUAUUUCCGGCGUGAUGGAGUACAUCUUUCGGAUUUGGGCAUAGAUUUUCUAACUUUGGGUUUUUAGGAAGGUUUGCGGCAGGCUCUGUUGAGGAGGUUGAGGUGGUCGAGCUCUGAGCUGUGGUGGGGGAUGGAGAGGACAUUGGGGGGUAGGUUGGCUUAGUAAGUGGGGGAGUUCAAGUUCAGGAUCACUAGUUAUGUUUGGAUUGGUUUGGUAGGUUCGAGCUUAUCGGUAGCUCAGAAACUGGGUGUGUAGGGGUAUCUUGGUAUACCCCUACAAGUGGAAAAAGAUGCCCUUGGUGGCUGUGGUAACUGUUUGUGUUUUUUUAAUGUGAGAUGUUGUAUUAAUAUAUUUUUGUUAUUUAUGUUGGGGUCAUUGUCUGUAAAAUGUUUUACAUUGAAAUUUGCUGGGCUUCGAUGUCUCAAAGUGUGUUUGACUAUGACCCCUUAUUUAAAAUUAUUUAAUUUUUUUUUUUAUAAAAGCUGUGAUAAUUUUUCCAGAAUAUUAGUGGUGUACGUGUUUAAUUGGAGGGUGAUUUUUUAUGGUGGUUAAUUUAGAAUAUGCCUAGGGGGCGACGAUGCGCAUGUCAUAUGUAUGAAAACUGUAUUAUAAAAAAAAAAGUGGUCAUAGGGUAUAGUUAGGUUAAAACAUGCAUGAGGGAAGGUUGGGGGAGGGAAAGGAUUAAAGGGUUGGGUAAGGUGCAAGUGUUGGUACAGGUCAGGAGGUCCAAAGCCUCAUUCUUAAGACUGAAAAAAGCAAGUAAAUAUGUUUUUUUCCUUCUUUGCCUGCAUCUUCUUUUCUUAUUCCUUCAACACCCACUCCAGGAGGAAGUGAUCUAACCAAUCAGUGUCAUAUCCCUAGGAAUGCUGGAAAAGUGCAUGGGGCAUGCCUGAUUGAUUUACACAUGUGCAGUUGAAAGAUCUUUUUCUUUUCACCUUGCAACAUCCUGACAGGGGGAAAAGAUAGGGAGUUUGAUCAGUGUGAUCAUGCAGGACAGGCUAAGGCAUUGCACUUCUCUCUCCAACUGCUGCACAAUGAUGCCCUGUUUCUGUCUGUAGUGUAAUGGUCUGAAAACUGAUAUGGGUGGGUUAAGAGAGGAGUGGGGCUGAAGAAAGAGGUGUGCCCAGUAAUGCAAUCUGACCAAGUUUAUAAACAUGUAUUACAUACUUUUAAAAGUGUUUCUUGCUUUAUAUUGGUUUGUAUAUUUGUUUAAUUCUAUUUGCUUGCUGGUUUAAAAAAAUAAAUGUCAAGUGAUGCAAGUGUGGUCGGUUGUAAUCCAGAGGAAAAACUGGAUAGUAAAUCCGGGUGGCAGUGACCUUGAGAAGCUACAAACAAUAUAUAGCACUUUUUGUCUGAAAAAAUAAUGUUGUUUCAAGAUCAGCAGUUAUUAGAUUUGUGUGUUUGCUUGAACUAAUACAGCUUUGAGCAAUGCAAUAUUACAGAAUAAAGCUCACAUUUGCUGCUUGAAUUCUUCUCUCAAGUCUUUUAAAUCAUGAGCAAGGCAGAAAUGAAAAUUGUGGAAGGUUCUACAAGCUGGAAAUAAUUUAUAUUCAGACAGGAAUGAAAAGAAAUACACACAUUUUAUGUCACGUUGCAUUUGCUCUAACCACACAUACUUUAUUAUGGUGGCAAUACUACACUCACCCUCGUUGUGCAUCGUUUUAAAGGACAAUUCCCUAAAUCAAGUUUAUCUGAAACGUAGCAACGCAGAUGACCAUUUUAUAUUUUAUUAACACAAAAAACUGCAUAUUCCCAUGUGAUUUUUUUUUUUUUAUUAAUGAUCACAAAGAGGGUGAUCUUAUUAAAAACAUGAAAUGCAGGUACAAUUUUCUAAACCACAUAAAACAACAAAAUAAAUAAAAACCAGAAACAAAUAAUUUAACCACAAAUGGUACACUCAGAUUACUCUGGUUUCCAUUUUCCCAACAUCCAGGAGAUUUUACUAUUACCCAAUUUAAUGGUACUAAUUUUAUCUACCUUCUAAAGAUGAUGGGCUGAGUCUACCAUGCUGGGAAUUGAACCUGUGACCUUCCUAAGAGUUGAAUAGAUUCUACCAAUGAUGCAUUAGCUCACUGAGCUGUCUCUCCAAAUACCAAAACUGAGAUAUCAAUCAGUACAGCAUGUAGGACAGCUUCAGCAAGACAAAAAUUAGAGUGAUGGGGAAUUGACAGAAUAUUGUCAUGAGUAUUAAAGGGGGUUGCGAGAUUUGGAAGUAGUGAAUUUUACACUUACACAAAGUUCUUGUUUCCAGCUAGAUGGUUUUGGGGUCAUUCAUUUAGUUCUAAGGGCCGUAGAUCAUUUAGCAGGACUCUUGUUAUGCACUUGGUAGUCGUUUUAAAGUAUCUUCUAAUUUUCUUUCGUAAAAUGUUUUUGAGUAUAAGACAGUAUAAAAAAUUGUGGGCUAGCUUUUCAUUUUAAAUGAUUGUGUGGAGCUAAUAUUUACUGAGCACGAAGAAUAACUUUUGUCGUUGCUUGCUGCAUAGUAGUCCAUGUUUAGCAUAUGGUUUUACUAGCCAAGACCACCAGAAAUGUAAUGAGUUUGCAUGAAGGUCUGAACCUUGGAGGAAAGUCAUUGGUUUGGUAAGAGAUUCAUUUUAAGGGUGAAGCUAUGUCUAGUGAUGGGGUGUAGCAGGAAAUUAGUGAAAAAAAAGUUAGGCAAAUGUUAGAAUUUGGAGGGAUUUGUAAGACAUUUGAAAAUAGAAUGCUGGGGAAUCAACUGUGUGAAUGUGGUAGCUGACAAGCUCUUAUUAUUCCGUUCAUGUGCACUGAGAUAUUGCAGUUUCUGUUGAACGGGUUGGCUGGAAUAGAGUGAAAAUUUAUGGUAAUAGAUAGUUAAUUAAGCAUAACAUGCUCCAAAAGCAUGGAGAGACAGGUGAGAUGCUAUAUAGAUCAUAAACUGAUCAAAAGUGCAAGAUAAAGUAGCAUGAGGCAAUUUCACACUGGUUCUCAACUGAUAAAGAAAGUUGAUUGGCUCGCGCCAUGACAGUUCAAUGCCAUGAGCUUCGAACGUGGAACGGAAGUGACGGAUAGGUGAUCUAUUGAUCCAUUCCUUCCAAACACAUACAGACUAAGUGUCCCUUUAAGUGAAGUAGACUGAGGAGAGCUAGAGGCUGUUAGAGGUGUCACAGUACAUAUGGUGUCAUAGCUUCAGUGGUUUUCUAUAGAGUGGUAUCAAUGUUUAAGAAAGCUAAUUUUGCUGUCACAGCUGAGUUACACCAGCUAGUAAAUAUCAAAUUGAUGUCAAUUUGCGGCAACAAGAAGAAGAAAAUAGAGUUAGGAAUCCAGUAGAUCGACCACUUACUCAUUAAAAUUCUACAUAUUAUUUUUAGAUGCUAUUUACCAGCUAUAAGUUUGAUGCAAUACCUUCAUGCUAUAAUAAAGAGAGCCCUACGCAUUUUUUUUCUUUAACAAUAGAUUCGCAGCACCGAUGGUCGCCACUGCAUUGAGCACUAAUAUUUUACUGCCUAUAAAAGGAGAGAGGAAGAGAUCAGGCUAUAAAUGCUUUCCUCCUUGUUACUCUACCGAACCGAGGAGCAUGUCAAGCUUCGUCACGCAUCAUGGUUACAAAUUGCCAACUGAAAAUUGGAUGCCUUAAUGCCUCUUUUUCCCAACGCUGCCAUUUCUAUAGUAUCACAAAUGGGUAAAUGGUAUGUUCUAUGCGAAUACAAAUAUAUGGC